rnacentral:rRNA from 1 species
GAUCUGGCUCAGGAUGAACGCUGGCGGCCGUGCCUAAUACAUGCAAGUCGUACGAGGGAAGUCCAGCUUGCUGGACGGAACGAGUGGCGAACGGGUGAGUAAUACGUAAGCAACCUGCCUGCAAGGACUGGGAUAACACCUGGAAACGGGCGCUAAUACCGGAUAGGUAACAAAGGGGCAUCCCUAUGUUAUUAAGGUUAGAAACACAAGCAGAUGGGCUUACGGUGCAUUAGCUAGUUGGUGAGGUAACGGCCCACCAAGGCGAUGAUGCAUAGCCGGCCUGAGAGGGUGAACGGCCACAUUGGGACUGAGACACGGCCCAGACUCCUACGGGAGGCAGCAGUAGGGAAUUUUCGGCAAUGGACGAAAGUCUGACCGAGCAACGCCCGCGUGAGUGAAGAAGGUUUUCGGAUUGUAAAGCUCUGUUGUAAGGGAAGAACAGCACGGAAAGAAUCCGUGAAUGACGGUACCUUACCAGAAAGCCACGGCUAACUACGUGCCAGCCGCCGC